rnacentral:rRNA from 1 species
GACGAACGCUGGCGGCGUGCCUAAUACAUGCAAGUCGAACGCACAGUUUAUACCUUAGCUUGCUACACCAUAGACUGUGAGUUGCGAACGGGUGAGUAACGCGUAGGUAACCUGCCUGGUAGCGGGGGAUAACUAUUGGAAACGAUAGCUAAUACCGCAUAAUAUUAAUUAUUGCAUGAUAAUUUAUUGUAAGGUGCAAUUGCACCACUACCAGAUGGACCUGCGUUGUAUUAGCUAGUAGGUGAGGUAACGGCGCACCUAGGCGACGAUACAUAGCCGACCUGAGAGGGUGAGAGGCCACACUGGGACUGGAGCACGGCCCAGAAUACUGCGGGAGGCAGCAGUAGGGGAUCUUCGCGAAUGGACGAAAGUCUGACCGAGGAACGCCGGGUGAGAGAAGAAGGCUGUCGGGUCGUAAAGCUCUGUUGUAAGAGAAGAACGGGAGGGAGAGUGGAAAGUUCACACUGUGACGGUAUCUUACCAGAAAGGGACGGCUAACUACGUG